CCUUUCUGUAACACACACGCUACAAGAUCACACCGGGAAAACGGAGAGAGGAAAGGAAAUAAUAGGCGAGAAAAAGAAAGAGAGGGAGAAGGAAGCACCGCAGCCUCCCGUUCGUCCGCUGCUUGUUGUUUUUUUAAAAGAGGGACAAAAAAAUCGUCUUUUCUUUUAACGGAGACUUGCGGACUAACAUGGGGGGAAGAGAGAGCUCCUGACGAGGAUUGACUUUCAGUGAACCUCUGCUCUGUGGUCAAAAAACAGGCAGGAAAAAAAGGCGACAGGGAAGACAUGUUGAGGGGCUUCUCGUCUUAAGGUUGCGGUAGGAUGUUCAUGUUGUGCUCUUAAAUCAGGCGGAGAAGAGAUUAAAACGAAGACAAAUGGAAAUUGGGCGGUAGACUACGUCCAGGAGCUAUUGUUUUGAUCGGUGUUUAUUUAAUUGGUUUGUUAUGAACUGAAAAAACCGUAGGCCUCUUAAGCAGCCCUACAGUAAAUAAAUACACGAUCAGCAGCAAGCGAGGGGGCUACAUAGCCGGUAAUUAGCCUGCUUACGUUUGAGGAGACAUCUUUUUAAAUGAGCCCCUGUGUUUUGUAGCUAAGCUAAAUACGCUUUUAUUAGCUGCAUAUUUUUAAUACCAAAAGCAGUGUUUUGAUUAAUUUUCCAACCGCACAGGCAAAACAUUUCUAGAUACAUUAACUCUUUAGGGGUUCGUGCAAAAGGCCCAAUUGAAACACAUUAAAUUCAGCGUUAUUAGUGUAUUUUAACUGCUUAUCAUCCACACGCUGCUUUGUAGCACAAGGCUGCCUCAAGAGUAGCUCAUCUCUACCGCCACUUCAGCUCAAAACAAGGGGACAAAAGAAGAUUUUUAAAUGUUAAUGUCGACCGACGUUGCAUCAAUCAUGCUGCCUGUGUCCCGGGGUCUCAUGGACCGGGAUAGAGAGCUGGACACCUUGGCCGGGGUGCAUCCGAACGCAGGCGGCGCUCCAGCGGUCGUGCGGGGCAUGAAGCGUGGAGACCCGGAGCCCGACGUUCAGACAGCGGCGGCCCUGGUGGACUCUACCGGGGCGGAGUGCAAGCGCCCCCGGAUCGACGGCUCGGGGGGCAUCGUCGAGGUUGGUCAGAACAACGACCCGCUGACCCUUAGUUACCAUGGCUACCCAACUCACAGUCAGGGCUCUCAGGAUAGUGCUGGCGGUCAGGAGGGACUUGUACCACCACCUUUCUCUGCGUUCCCUCCACCUCCACCGCCACCCCCCCAGAACGGCUUGGCCCUGGAUUACGGGGGCAGCUUGUACGCAGCGGGGGCCGUGCAGGGGCCCGUAGAAGCCGGUGGAGCAGCGAACAGUGCCGCCAACGCUGCCAACAGCCUCAAUGCUCAACAGACAGAUGGGUCCUCCCAGAUUGACGGUCAGUCAGGUGUUGGUUCAGGUGGAGGAGGAGGUGGAGGGACUGUUGGGGAUGAUUCAGACAGCAAGGUGACCCCAAAACGUCUCCACGUGUCCAACAUCCCUUUCCGUUUCCGGGACCCGGAUCUACGGCAGAUGUUUGGGCAAUUUGGAAAAAUCCUUGAUGUGGAGAUCAUUUUCAAUGAGAGGGGAUCCAAGGGCUUUGGUUUUGUAACAUUCGAGUCGAGUGCAGAUGCUGAGCGAGCCCGGGAGAAGCUUCAUGGUACAUUGGUGGAAGGACGUAAAAUCGAGGUGAAUAAUGCCACAGCCAGAGUGAUGACAAACAAGAAGAUGACAACACCUUACUCUAAUGGAGAGGGCCUCGCAACUCUGCCAUACGCUGGUUGGAAGCUGAGCCCCAUGGUUGGAGCCAUGUACAGUCCUGAACUCUACACAGUACCAGGGUUUCCAUACCCGGCUGCAGCAGCAGCUGCUUCGACCGCCGCCACCUUUCGGGGGGCUCAUCUCCGGGGUCGUGCCCGGCCUGUCUACAGCGCAGUCAGGGCAACUGUGCCCCAACCUGCCAUCCCCACCUAUCCAGGUGUGAUGGCCUAUCAGGAUGGCUUUUACGGUGCGGCUGAUCUUUAUACUAGUGUUUCAGGACAUUAGUGGCAGAUUGCCCCAGGUAGGGUUUACACACUCUGUUUGAGAGCCAGUGUGCAUCCUCCUCGUCUCCAAUGACUGCGUGCUGUUAGACAUUAUUGACCAUCUGAGACUGAAAUGCCUUCUCUGUCUUCUUCUACUAACUCACUGGAUUCUGACAUGGGCGGAGUUGCGGAAGGGGGAGAAAAUAAUAGUUAGAUCUGAGAAGAAUAUAUAGUGUAAAACUUGAUAGUUAAAGUAUCUACAAAAGAGAAAGGGUUAGGGGGAACAGUCAAAAUAUUAACGCUCAGUAGCACAUCUAUUCUCUUUAUUCUCAGUGUUUAUACAAAUAAUUUAGUCAUAAAUUGGCUUUUUGUCUUGAUGCACUGAUGUUUAUUUAUGCAGCAAGGUUAACUAAUAUUCAGUAGACAAGAUGUAUUUGAGCAAACAAAUUUCACACCAUAUUAUUUCACAUUUCCAUCUCAUAAAUGUUUUCCAAAAUGCAUUUUUUACAAGAAUCACCCAGAACUGGAACUAUUGAGGCAACACCAGAUGUUACCCUUCUAAGCAAUAUCAUGUUGUCAUUUUUAAUAUUCUUUUUAAUGAAUUCAGCCUCUCGCUUUUAUUGGGCUCAAACUCUAAAAACAUGCCUUUAAUCAAAUCUUCCUUUGAAGCAAGCAGCAUUGACAUUGUAGCAGUACAAAUAGGACAGGAAAUGAAUAAGUUGUAAAUAAAUACACUGAUACCUGAGACUUCUCCAGUAGUCAGGGGGAUGUAGGACAGUCUCAGUCAGCAGUUAAUUCAGACCCCUUCCAGGAAUCUCCCUAUCUGUUUCACCUGUGGCAUGCUAACUGAAUCAAUGUCGGCAUGCAGACAUACUUACAAGGCUGACUCUUCUCUUAGACCUCCCCCUCUUCCUCCCCCCUUCCUCUUCUUCAUCUGUACGCCCCCUUUUCUUUUUGCCAUCCUUCAUUUCAACUCUUUCAUAUUUUUCUCAAAGCCAACUGCUCUCCUGUUUGUAAAUCUCCUCACUGUCUCCUGGCACUUUCUUGUUUCCUUCUGUCCCCUUUGUUGUACUCUUCUUAUUCUCCUCCCCCAUUUUACUCCAUCUCUCUCUUCAUCCUUCUCUUUAGGUCUGUCAACUCUUGGCUCAGUCCCUCUUCUAAUUUUACUCUUACACCCCUCAAGACCCUGAUACAUCACCAGUAUGUCAGGGGAGAAAUACACACAAAACUUUCAGAAUAAGAUUGGAUUCAACUUUCGGUGUUAGGGCAUGAGUUAGGAAUCCAAAAGUUAAAAGUUGAAAAAAAAAAACAAAACAAAACCCUUCCUCCAUGAAAACCUCUGAUGCAGCUGACAUAGUGAAAGCUAAAGAAAAUUGGUUAGCUAUCUUAGCUUGUUAUGUUUCCCAAAGGAAAUGUACCUAUGUUAGUUUUAGCUACAUUUGCCAAAGCUAAGUAGCUACAUUAUUUACAUAGCAAACAAAGAUAGCUUACCCUUUGCUGUGUUUGCCAAAGCAAAUUUUAUAUUACGCCAAAGCUAACAUAGGUGUGUUGGCUUGCAUUAUUACAUAAAAUAUGAAGCAACUGUAGCUUGAGCUACUUAGCUAAAGCUAACGUAGCUAAAUAUAGCCUCUCAUAGUCUGUCUCAUAGUAGUGGUCUGUAAGAGUGAGGUCCGAGAAAUGGGUCUGCAGUCAGACCGCUCUCAUUUCUGUUGAAUGAGAUUUUGGCAUCCUUUGUCAGCAGCAACUUGGAGAAAAUACAGGACUGUCUGGAAUUAUGAGUUAUUUAAAUUAAUAAACAUUUUUAUAAGGCCCUUAAUCCUGGUCAAACACCAUCUAAACUGUAACGCAGCUGCCCACCACUAGUAGCCACUGUAGUUGUUCUUCAUGACUACUGCCUUGCAGCCACAAUCGGAUACAGACAACUGUUAACUGACAGCACAGAGAGCACCUCAUGGGAACAGCACAGUUAAGCACUGUUUUGAUCUAGAAAAUUGAGAUAAAGCUGCUCAGAGGCUGUGUCAGGUUAUACUCACAUAUGACCAAAGUAUUGAGCAGCAAUAUUCAGUGUAGGAAUGUGGAUGUUAAACUGGAUAGAGGAUUAAAGGCCAGUGGUGCUAGCACCUAUAAGAUAAGCCACAUUCUGUUCACCAACUUAUAAGUUAUUUUAUUGCGUCAGUGUGAGGUUGGUUUACAGAAUGUAUUUACUUGAGUUAAGAUAAGUCAGCUAAAAGCAGCUAGAAUUUGCAUUUUAUCAAAUGGGAAAUUUUUCUCCUGGGAACAUCCUUAAACAUAGGACCUUUAUGCAUUGAAACAGUACCGAAUUAGGAUAAUAUAAUGGCCAUAAUUUUCAACUCUCAUUUACAUAGAAUGUUGUAAACUCUUUUUUGUAUUGGAGCAGCCAUCUUGCCUAUGAUUUGAAAAUCAUACUGGAAGAUUUGCAGUAAAGCUCUGUAGGAGUGUGCAGCAGGAAACUCUCCAUUUGAGGCAGUGUAUCCCUAGCACUCUCGCUACUCCUCCAUUUCAACAAAAAUCAGGAUGCUCAAACCAUAGAUGUGAAGAUGCAAAACACAAGGGAAGGGCUUAGUGGUAGGGGCAAGGGCUGUAUCGGGACUGAGCCUUUGUGACCCUUUCCUCUUCCUCUCCUUUCUCCCCCUCCUCUCAUAGCAGCCACUGUGUGGUCCUGAAUGCGGGGACUUGGUUAUGACUGAUCCUUUAGGGUAGAAUGCAGCGGUGUGUGUUUUUGUUUUGUUUUGUUUUGUUAAUAGGGAUGUUUGGCCUAAUAUACGGGACGUCCUGAGUUUGGGAAAGCAUGCUGUGUCUAUUAGUGAUUGGUCGCUGGCCACAUGAGCGUGGUGUGUGUGUGCUCUGUUUAAUCUGACUGGCUGAAUGUCUUCUUACACCUGUAGUUUUUUUGUGUCUGUUCAUCAGCUGUCCAUCCAAACAUAAAUAAUGACACAAUCAUCCUGCCACCCCCUCCCCUUUCUCUAACUGUGCGUUUUUGGGAAGGGAACAGGGGUGGGGCACAAAUAUGGGUAUGGAGUCUCUCUCCCUCCAUGUCUAACACAUGGUGUCAAAGAUAAUGAACUUUUAAGUAAUACAUGUUCAAAGAUAUUUUCUCAAAGUUGGUCAUGGAGGGAGAGACACACAGAGCCUGAGCUACAUCCUUGUGAAUGCUGUACUGCACCAGAUUAGCCAGUUGUGCUGACUGUCUGCUUGUUAAUCUUUCGCUCUCUCUCUCUCUCAGCAGUUUUUCUCACAAUGUAACCCCCUUUUAGACUCACUAGUUGAUUAGAUUGCAGUUAAAAUAUCACACAUGUCUAACAAGAAUUUACACUGGUUUCUGUUUCUUUUCACUUCUCCCUCCAUCACACGCUACCCCCCACCCCCUUCGUCCUCCAUCUUUCAUCACAGGGUGGUUAUGCAGCGUAUCGUUAUGCCCAGCCGGCUGCAGUAGCGACUCCUGCAGCAGCGGCAGCUGCAGCAGCAGCGUACAGUGACAGCUACGGAAGAGUUUACACAGCAGACCCUUACCAUGCUGCACUGGCCCCAGCUGCCUAC